rnacentral:rRNA from 1 species
UACGUAGGGUGCGAGCGUUGUCCGGAAUUAUUGGGCGUAAAGAGCUCGUAGGCGGUUUGUCACGUCUGCUGUGAAAUCCCGAGGCUCAACCUCGGGCCUGCAGUGGGUACGGGCAGACUAGAGUGUGGUAGGGGAGACUGGAAUUCCUGGUGUAGCGGUGAAAUGCGCAGAUAUCAGGAGGAACACCGAUGGCGAAGGCAGGUCUCUGGGCCACUACUGACGCUGAGGCACGAAGGUCAGGGGAGCAAACGGG